GCCUCGGUGGCGGAACUGGCAGACGCGCACGCUUGAGGGGUGUGUGCCGCAAGGCGUGAAGGUUCAAAUCCUUUCCGAGGCA
rnacentral:tRNA from 1 species